AUGGUACCUCCAUAUCAGCAAACGAAUUCCAAUUCAAAUUCUGGUCUCACUAUGACUACAACCCAUAGAGCUGGAGAUGCAGUCAACAAUAGACCAAUUGUACCUCCAAGUGGCGAACCAAAUUCAGGUCCAACUUCUAGCCUCAUUAUCACUGCGACCCAUAGAGCUGGAGAUGCAGGUGGGGUGUCAAAUGCAGGUCCAGCUUCUAGCCUCACUAUGACUGCGGUCCACAGAGCUAGAGGUGCGGUGCCAGGUUCCUCUCCAAUUUCUGGUGAAGCCGAAGAAUCAAAUGCUGCUGAUAUCUCUCGCACCUCCAGUUUGCAUCCAGGCACCAGAUCGCAUGGUCAAGUUCGAUCUCCUACUUCCAACACAGCUAUCGUCGUUGUACCAACUGCUAGCCAAACUGAUGAGGGAGCAGCCACUUGGGAAGAACUAGGUCUUGGCAACAUCAUGGGUGACGACAUUCUUGAUUAUGGUCCUGCUGCUUCAAACACAAGGCUCGAAUUCCCAACUGAUGAGCAAGCAGCCACUUGGGAAGAACCAGGUCUUGGCAACAUCAUGGGUGACGGCAUUCCUGAUUAUGGUCUUGCUGCUUCAAACACAAGGCUCGAAUUCCCAGAUGAUGAGACUUCAUUAGCUAACAUAACUUUUACACCGGACGGGAGUCCAUUUGGCUUAUAG
rnacentral:rRNA from 1 species